UACGUAGGGUGCAAGCGUUGCCCGGAUUUAUUGGGCGUAAAGCGCACGUAGGCGGCUUUGUAAGUUAGAGGUGAAAGCCCGGGGCUCAACUCCGGAAUUGCCUUUAAGACUGCAUCGCUAGAAUUGUGGAGAGGUAAGUGGAAUUCCGAGUGUAGAGGUGAAAUUCGUAGAUAUUCGGAAGAACACCAGUGGCGAAGGCGACUUACUGGACACAUAUUGACGCUGAGGUGCGAAAGCGUGGGGAGCAAACAGG
rnacentral:rRNA from 1 species